CAGUCGCCGCGGUAAUACAGAGGGUGCGAGCGUUAAUCGGAUUUACUGGGCGUAAAGCGUGCGUAGGCGGCUUUUUAAGUCGGAUGUGUAAUCCCCGAGCUUAACUUGGGAAUUGCAUUCGAUACUGGGAAGCUAGAGUAUGGGAGAGGAUGGUAGAAUUCCAGGUGUAGCGGUGAAAUGCGUAGAGAUCUGGAGGAAUACCGAUGGCGAAGGCAGCCAUCUGGCCCAAUACUGACGCUGAGGUACGAAAGCAUGGGGAGCAAACAGGAUUAGAGACCCCAGUAGUCCCUGUCUCUUAUAC
rnacentral:rRNA from 1 species